UCCGUAGGUGAACCUGCGGAAGGAUCAUUAAAGAUUCUAAGGCUUCGGUCUUAAUUUCGGCUGUGCGCUCAGGMUGCACGCCGAUAACCUCUCACACCUGUGCACCUUUUCGGUUGSGGUUUCGGCCGCUUCCGCUUUUACAUGCAACCACGAAAAGUCUAGAAUGUGACGAGAACUAUAAAGUAACAACUUUCAACAACGGAUCUCUUGGCUCUCGCAUCGAUGAAGAACGCAGCGAAAUGCGAUAAGUAAUGUGAAUUGCAGAAUUCAGUGAAUCAUCGAAUCUUUGAACGCACCUUGCGCUCCUUGGUAUUCCAUGGAGCAUGCCUGUUUGAGUGUCACGUAAACCCUCACCCCUGCGAUGUAACAGUCGCCUGCGGUGGACUUGGACCGUGCCGGUAAUCGGCUCGUCUUGAAAUGCAUUAGCUGGCGCUUUUAGAGUGCUGGGCGAACGGUGUGAUAAUUAUCUGCGCCGACUGCCCUGGGCCUCUUCAGCGGCGCUGCUUACAGCCGUCCCUUGUGGACAACUAUUUUAAAGCUUUGGCCUCAAAUCAGGUAGGACUACCCGCUGAACUUAAGCAUAUCAAUAAGCGGAGGA
rnacentral:rRNA from 1 species